GAUGAACGCUGGCGGCGUGCCUAAUACAUGCAAGUCGAGCGAACAGAUAAGGAGCUUGCUCCUUUGACGUUAGCGGCGGACGGGUGAGUAACACGUGGGUAACCUACCUAUAAGACUGGGAUAACUUCGGGAAACCGGAGCUAAUACCGGAUAACAUUUGGAACCGCAUGGUUCUAAAGUGAAAGAUGGUUUUGCUAUCACUUAUAGAUGGACCCGCGCCGUAUUAGCUAGUUGGUAAGGUAACGGCUUACCAAGGCAACGAUACGUAGCCGACCUGAGAGGGUGAUCGGCCACACUGGAACUGAGACACGGUCCAGACUCCUACGGGAGGCAGCAGUAGGGAAUCUUCCGCAAUGGGCGAAAGCCUGACGGAGCAACGCCGCGUGAGUGAUGAAGGGUUUCGGCUCGUAAAACUCUGUUAUUUGGGAAGAACAAAUGUGUAAGUAACUGUGCACGUCUUGACGGUACCUAAUCAGAAAGCCACGGCUAACUACGU
rnacentral:rRNA from 1 species